AUUGAACGCCGGCGGCAGGCCUAACACAUGCAAGUCGAGCGGAUGAAGGGAGCUUGCUCCUGGAUUCAGCGGCGGACGGGUGAGUAAUGCCUAGGAAUCUGCCUGGUAGUGGGGGAUAACGUCCGGAAACGGGCGCUAAUACCGCAUACGUCCUGAGGGAGAAAGUGGGGGAUCUUCGGACCUCACGCUAUCAGAUGAGCCUAGGUCGGAUUAGCUAGUUGGUGGGGUAAAGGCCUACCAAGGCGACGAUCCGUAACUGGUCUGAGAGGAUGAUCAGUCACACGGGAUCUGAGACACGGUCCUGACGCCUACGGGAGGCAGCAGUGGGGAAUAUUGGGCAAUGGGCGAAAGCCUGAUCCAGCCAUGCCGCGUGUGUGAAGAAGGUCUUCGGAUUGUAAAGCACUUUAAGUUGGGAGAAAGGGCAGUAAGUUAAUACCUUGCUGUCUUGACGUUACCAACAGAAUAAGCACCGGCUAACUUCGUG
rnacentral:rRNA from 1 species